GCACCCCAGCAAUUUCAAGAUGUCAACCAUGUCUAUCCUGGAAUUUCUGCUAGCGUUGAUGAUAUGUGCUUCAAUUCUACCUGCGAAAGCAGAAGAAAGGGCAGCAGUCGCAUCAACAGCAGCUGCUCCUGGAGUUUCUUGGUGGUCCGGGAAUCGUUUCGCAAGGAAGUGGUGCCGCAAGAACGAGGAAUACAAGGAGUGCCAGAGCAGCAGUUGCGGCGAGUGGAAAUGCUCGUUCUUGUAUAGAGGCUGGCCCGAUGGAUGCACAAUGGACUGCGAAACGGGAUGUUUCUGUAAGCAUGGUUACUUCAGAAACAGCAACAACAAAUGUGUAAAAGGGUGGAAAUGCUUCAGAGAAUUCAACUUGUACCGACCUUCUCUCUCCGAGUAGUGCUGAAGACACCAUGCAAGGACUUUUCAUCCGAAGCCAUUCACUUGAGGGAACAGAAAGCAAGCGAUAAAUUCUGAUGAUUCAAAUAUGGGGCAAGAAAUGCAAACGAAAAUAGGCAAUAUUGUAUUCUUCACUACAGAAAAAUGCAUAUUAAAGAGAACUGCACAUUUGUUGAAUAAAGAUAACUUGAACUUA